UACGAAGGGGGCUAGCGUUACUCGGAUUGACUGGGCGUAAAGGGCGCGUAGGCGGUUUGUACAGUCAGACGUGAAAUUCCUGGGCUCAACCUGGGGGCUGCGUUUGAUACGUGCAGACUAGAGUCCGGAAGAGGAGAGUGGAAUUCCUGGUGUAGCGGUGAAAUGCGCAGAUAUCAGGAAGAACACCCGUGGCUAAGGCGGCUCUCUAGUACGGUACUGACGCUGAGACGCGAAAGCGUGGGGAGCGAACAGG
rnacentral:rRNA from 1 species